rnacentral:sRNA from 1 species
AGAUUAAUAUCGUAUUUGUAAUAUUUUUAAUAUGUAAAUGUAUGUAUUAUGUUAAUUUUAAUAGAAUUUUAUGUACAUUUAAUACAUCCUCUAUAGGCAGACCGCUCCUAUUGAUCCUCUAUGAGAACCAAUUUCCUGUUCUUUAACAGGAUAUUUAUUGCCCCAUUUACGUCUCUGUCUCUUUUCUGUUUACAUUUUGGACAAUCAUAGACUUUCGAAGUUCCUAAUUUUGCAUGAAUAUAUCCACAAUUACAGCAGGUUUUACUUGUCCAAGCUUCAUUCACCUCUAAAUAUUGGCAAUUAAACUCCUCGCACUUCUGCUGGAGGCGUUGCCUAAAUCUGUAAUGGGAUAUUUUUCCUACACUAAUAAGUUUGACUGUUAUUACCAAAUGUUUAUAGAUAAUAUUAGAUACAUUCAAAAUAAUAGAAACAAUAAAUUUAUGGAAAAAUAUUGGUGAAAUUAAGACUAGUUUA